GUUUCUGUAGUGUAGUGGUUAGCAGGUUUGGUUAACACACAAAAGACUCCUGGUUUGAAACCAGGCAGAAACA